CCUACGGGCGGCUGCAGUGGGGAAUAUUGGACAAUGGGCGAAAGCCUGAUCCAGCCAUGCCGCGUGUGUGAAGAAGGCCUUCGGGUUGUAAAGCACUUUCAGUGGGGAAGAAAGCCUUGGGGCUAAUACCCUCGAGGAAGGACAUCACCCACAGAAGAAGCACCGGCUAACUCCGUGCCAGCAGCCGCGGUAAUACGGAGGGUGCGAGCGUUAAUCGGAAUUACUGGGCGUAAAGCGCGCGUAGGCGGUCUGAUAAGCCGGUUGUGAAAGCCCCGGGCUCAACCUGGGAACGGCAUCCGGAACUGUCAGGCUAGAGUGCAGGAGAGGAAGGUAGAAUUCCCGGUGUAGCGGUGAAAUGCGUAGAGAUCGGGAGGAAUACCAGUGGCGAAGGCGGCCUUCUGGACUGACACUGACGCUGAGGUGCGAAAGCGUGGGUAGCAAACAGGAUUAGAUACCCCAGUGUC
rnacentral:rRNA from 1 species